GACAGGACAUUCACUACCGGCAUCUGUGAAGUCAGACUUUCUGAAAACUACAGUCCGUAGUUUACUAUUUGCUAGUCAGAAUGGCGUCACAGAUACCCAUAGGUCCAUCUUGUUUGAGAUCUCCAGCGGAAGUCAGAGACGUGGGAUGUAUUCGAUGCUGAGAUGGAAAUGUUUCCCAGAGUCUUCAUGUUCUUCCUGGGCGCCCAGGCGGCAGCUGUUGGAGUACACUCAGCUUUGUGUUUUUAUACGGGAGACGAGCUGCAUGCGAAGGUCUUUGACCUUAUCAUCCACCUCACUGGUUCCGGAAGAAUCCUUUCCGCCCCCUAUGGCUACCAAAGACCCAGCCAAUACACAGAGCACAGCAGCAGACCAUCUCCAGCCACAGACUAACAGCCAAGCGCCACAACCAGUUAGGAGUGAUCCCAGCAGAGCUCCGAAGUGACUCAAACCGCCAGCAAUUCUGCCCAGCCAGCGAUAACACAGCACUCCAAUGAUACUCAUCUUCAGCAACAGGUUCCUAUGAAACGCUGAAAGAGGACUUUUUUUUAUUUUUUACAUGGUCCUCCUCCUCCUCACCUGAAG